ACUAGGCCAUGCCCCCGGUCCGUUUCUCUCUCCUUCCGGCUGCUCGCAUCUCGCCAUUGCGGUUCCCCUCAAAAAAGAAAAAAUCUCGUCAAUGCGGAGGCAGCGGCAGCGAGCCAGCGACGGCGCCGGAGGGAUGACCCAACGGCGGAGACUACCUCUUCCGCGUGUGGAGUACUACCCUUUCCUCUUUCGUGCGGCAACGACUCGGAGGCACCGUGGGCUAUGCAAGAUCCGGGCGAGCUCGGCAGUGACAGCGACCUUCUCCGGCGUCCCUCUCCACUGUCGGCGUGCAGGGGAAGAGGAAGCAGACCAAGCAAGGAAAGGAAAGAUAAAUGAGGAGCUCGGGUGAUGGAGGUAAUGCUCGAACGGACUCCUGGCGGUGGAAUCAAUUCAAGGAGGAGAUGAAGGUCAUGUGGAUGACAUAGAAGAAGAGGAGAAGCUCAAGGCUGCGGAGAAAGGAACAACAGUAGAGUAUCAGACUUCAAUCGAGCUGAGAUCAGUUUUUUUUGUCAUGGGACAUAUGAAUACUCUACUGAUUUUGCUUUUGUUUAAGUUUCACGAAUUUUCAUCCUUUAGCAAUAAAUGAUGGUUCUGACUUAAUUGAAGGUUAGCUGACAAUGCUAUCUGUAUAUUUAUGUUAUAAUCGAAAUUUGCACAUACAUACGAGCAAUAUUUCUUCAAUUAAAGAAUAUUCACUUUACGAGGAUUUUUAUUUUAUGCUAUUCUUAAGAUAAGAUUUUAAUCGAUGAUGCUAGUUUUAUGUUUUGUGAAUUUAUUAGGCAAUCAAGGAAUUGGAAUUCUGCCAAGAAAUCUAGGAGCAGAAGAUGUAUGCAAGGGACUUGGAGACGAGGCAAUGGUUUUGAAGCUUUGGGAGCCUGCGACUGGCUCGAGGGGUGGCAUCAGCAAGCGCUGGCCGGCCUCGGCACUGCUGUGGGUGGUUAUAUGGUGGGCGGAGCACACCAUUGGGUUUCGACAUCAGGGUACAGUGGCGAGCUAAAUCUUCAGUCCAGCUAGGCUUUUUUUUGGUUCACGUUUUGUUACUAUUUUCCAUUCGGGAUUUCAUGGUGAGCAAACCUACCAUUUGCAGUUGUUUCUUUCAGAAAUUCAUGUCCUGACUUCAAAUUUUGGUCGUAAGGUAAAUCCUGCCAACAAGUCGAUGCUAUGGGUUUACUAGUUCUCUUAAUAUUUCUAUGCAAAUUAUUGCCCCCUUCAUUUCAUUUGCAAUCAGCAAGGAACUCAAAGAUAGAUGUGUAUUUUCUCACGCGCAUUCUACUCCCUAGAUUGUUUGGGGCUUUGAGCAAUACAGAAUGGAAGAAUUUGUUACGUUCGUAUAGGUUUGUAUAGAAUGGCAUGGUAUCAACAACUAAUUAAUCUUCUCUAAAAAAACAACUAAUUAAUCUUUUGUAGUUGAGACUUGAGAUCCUGCUCACAUCUCUCUUGACCGCUUAUUAUCUUGUCCGCUAUCAUGCACCAUUAUUUGAUGAAUGAAAAUAUCACAGUAAAAUUUCGACAGCACUAACUUUCCACAAAUCGACAGUUUCUGUAUAUCAAGGUUCCCUUCCCAUGACAGGAACAGAGUAGUCAUGAGGAGCUGCAAUGAUUCGUGUAUAUGUAACAGUUGCCAAAACUCUGAAACUAUUUCAGAAAUCAUUGCUCAAACUGUAUGGUCAUCCAGAUGAGGAUGUUGCAAAGGCUAACUGGAAACAUCUUCGCAGAAACUUUACGGUCAUCCAGAUGUUGAUUUUGCAACUCCUAAUUGGAACUACAAAUGUCUGCAGAUAGGCGAGAACAGUGUCCAUCUCAAGAUCGAUGGGAGAGUGUUGCACUACAGAAAGAUAAUCUUGUCACUACAGAUAGAUAGUCUUGUCUGUAGAUAUUGAAUAUUUAGAUGCUACUUUCUCAAAUAGCUUACUGAAUUUAUUGUCUGUAUGAUUGUGUAUGACGAACUCUGAUCGUGUUUGUUCAUUGUAAACCGACCUAGUUGUGUAAUGAAAUUCAAGUGCUUUUUGGGUGGUUCUCAUGU